rnacentral:lncRNA from 1 species
GGGGAUCCGAACCGGCGAACCCCGGUUGCCAAAGGGGAACGUGCGAACUUAACCACUGUGCCACCGGGCCAGCCCCUCCAUCACAUUUUAAUGUAAAUUCCUAGAAGUGAAAUUCCUGGAUCAAAGCACACAUGUGAAUUUUAAAUUGCCAAUAUCCUUCCAAAAGGGCUGUACCAAUCUACCUUCUUUCAGCAACAUUCAAGAAGCCAAAGCUGAGAGACAACAUGGCUUGCUCAAGUUCCCACGGAUAAGAAGUAGUGGAUCCGGACUCCUUACCCAGCACUCCAGGUGCAGAGUGAUCUUUGACUGUGAAAUGAUUGCUUAAUCUGCAAACUGAAUUGUUGAAGAUUUCCUCCAGAAACAAUUGCUUCUGCCUCUGCUCCCACUAGACGUCCCAGACUCAGUUCCUCACCUGGCCACCAGGCCACAGCCCAGCACCUUGGGAGCAGCGUGGCUACUGAUGUCUGCUCUCAGGGCAUUCUUGCCUCAUGAUUUCAUUGCCCCCUGAUCUACUGGUUCUUGUAUUUCUAUGCAGAGGGUCCUUGGAGACUUUUCUUAUGCGACCAGAGAUGCCUCAAAGAGUGUGUGCUAGAGAGCCACACUGCCAGAAGCAGAAAUCUGACUGUGGUGGUGUGUACUGUGUUCACUUGGUUAAGCUGGAACUGUUUCCCCAAAUCCUCUCCUUCUGCAGUUGUGGGUGUGAGUUGACCAAGAGCAACCUGUGUGAGAUACAGAAUUUUCCUACUAUUUUCUGAAACUUGUAGUCACACGUGGUGACAAAAAUAUACAAAGGUGUCCUACAGGAUCAAGUUAGUCCUUGCUUUCCUCUGUUCCAAUCCAGCUCUUCUUCCCAAACACUGACCUGUUGACCAACAGCAGCCUCACACCUGUGACCAGACACAUAGGUAGUA